rnacentral:lncRNA from 1 species
GUGUUGGCUAGCUGGCAAGGAAAACAUGGGAAGACAGUGCCAUGCCGCCAUUAAAAGGAGGCAGUUCAAGAAGAUAUUGAAGAAAAAAGAAUUCAUUUGCCCAGAUCCUUGAGAUGCUGCGACUCUGGCCCUUGGGGAACAAAGGAGAGGCCCUUGGGGAACAAAGGAGAGGAGGACUGUUUGGCAGAGACCUAAAUGGGUGUUCAGGAAAAGCACCAAAAGGCCAAGGUUCCUCUGUGCCCUUUCCAGCUCCUCAGUAAUUGAAAAUUUUAUACCUGAUACCAUUAAUCAGAG